AUUGAACGCUGGCGGAAUGCUUUACACAUGCAAGUCGAACGGUAGAGGGGGCAACCCCUCGAGAGUGGCGAACGGGUGAGUAAUAUAUCGGAACGUGCCCAGUCGUGGGGGAUAACGUAGCGAAAGUUACGCUAAUACCGCAUACGAUCUACGGAUGAAAGCGGGGGACUCGCAAGAGCCUCGCGCGAUUGGAGCGGCCGAUAUCAGAUUAGGUAGUUGGUGGGGUAAAGGCUCACCAAGCCAACGAUCUGUAGCUGGUCUGAGAGGACGACCAGCCACACUGGAACUGAGACACGGUCCAGACUCCUACGGGAGGCAGCAGUGGGGAAUUUUGGACAAUGGACGCAAGUCUGAUCCAGCCAUUCCGCGUGCAGGAUGAAGGCCCUCGGGUUGUAAACUGCUUUUGUACGGAACGAAAGGUCUGGGUUAAUACCCUGGGCUCAUGACGGUACCGUAAGAUAAGCACCGGCUAACUACGUGCCAGCAGCCGC
rnacentral:rRNA from 1 species